UCCAUUUAAGAUAUUAUAAUUUCAGUGAUGAUGCCUUAUUUCAGGAUAAUUGGUGUUGUUUUUGCUGCAGCUCAGGCCGGAUUUUGGAUUGCAAGGCUAAGCAUGUCAUCUAAAUUGAAGCUGAAAAGAAGAAAUAUAUAAACCACAUUGAGGAGUUAGUCCAAUGAAUGAGAUGGGAGCCCUUCAAAGUCACAUAUACAAGCGAUUUAUGUUCAAGCUUUAUACGAGCAGGCAAUUGAGUUAAUCGGGAAGGGGGUAGCCUAUGUGGAUCACCAGGAGUUCUUUCAAUUCUCCUAUGCUUGGGAUCUGUUUGAUUGAUGGACCUUAAAGCUCAUGCAAUAAUGCAUGAACUUGUCAAAAG